CUUGAUUCCGACUAAAGAACAACUGCAGACGGGACUUAGAGAGAAUAAAGAGGGUAGAGCCCAUAGGGUGAAAGCGUUUGUAAGAGUCGACGAUAAAAAAGAGCUUAUAAACCCACCAAGAAUUCAAGAGAAAGAAUUCGAGGAGCCAGAGAGAAUCUCACUCAGGACCCCUAAGGAUCUCGAACUAAAGAAA
ncrna:unclassified sequences IMES-1 RNA motif